rnacentral:tRNA from 2 species
GUUAUUUUAGUAAAAGUUUUAUUAUGCUGCUUUGAUGAGGCAGAGUUUUGAGAAUAAUA